UACAGAGGGUGCGAGCGUUAAUCGGAAUUAUUGGGCGUAAAGGGCUCGUAGGCGGUUUGUCGCGUCGGGAGUGAAAUCCACUGGCUUAACUGGUGGCUUGCUUUCGAUACGGGCAGACUGGAGGUAUGCAGGGGAGAACGGAAUUCCUGGUGUAGCGGUGAAAUGCGCAGAUAUCAGGAGGAACACCGGUGGCGAAGGCGGUUCUCUGGGCAUGUCCUGACGCUGAGGCGCGACAGCGUGGGGAGCAAACAGG
rnacentral:rRNA from 1 species